AUGCCCCGCUCCACCGGAGAGCCGGUGUCGGCCGGCGGCUGCGAGUCGGUUACAGCGAGCUGCUCCUCGCCGUCCCGCUCCUCCCGGUCCGUCGCCGCCGCCGGCACCGCCAGCAGCGUCCGAAAAGUUUUCUGCCCGCCGCCGCCGCUGGACUCGCCCCGCACCGCCGAGGAGCGCCCCCAGCCCCAUCGCCCCGGGGGCUGCCCGGCGGGCAGGCGCGGCUCCGGCAGCGCCGCCGCCUCCCGCCGCAGCAGUACCGUCCAGAGCCCCGGCAGGGCGCCCAGCAGCAGCAGCCCCAGCACGGGCAGGGGCCCCGGCGCGGCCCGCCUCGCCCGCUUCAUCCUCACGCCGCUUCACGCCGCUACCGCGGGACGCGGCGGCGGUACAGCCCCGCCGCUCGGCCGCUCAGCGCAGCGCUGGCGCAUGGCCGCGGGCCGGAUCUGCCGCCCCGGGAGCGGCAGCAGGAGCAGGCGAGCCCCGGCGGCUGCCCCACGCCGUGUGCGCCCAGCUCCGCCGGCGGCCGGGAGACCACGGGCACCGCACCACGUGGGGGAGCCGGGGGGGCGCGCCCGGCCCGCCCCGUCUCCCGGCGUGGCCCUCCGCUUAAAACGGCGAUGGCCCGCGCGGAGACGUCGGUGGUCCCACACACGGCAGGGCGCCCCGUCGAGGAGGCGGAAGGGUCGCGGAUGGCGUGGGAGCCGCGCCGGUCGCCCGUCCAGCGGGAAGGGAGAGCGCUGCGGCGGGGGCGCUUGGCCCGCCGGUUCCUCCUCGCCGCUGCGGGCAGCACAAAGGAGCCUGCACACCGAGGAAGAAAAGCGAGGAGGGGGAAGGGGAAGAGGAAGGCGGUACGCACGCCAGCGGGGCCGCCCCCCGCGCCGGUGCACGGGCGGCCGCGGAGCCCCGGGCGCGGCCGCGCCGCCUCCCGCCCACGGCAGCACGGCGGGGUCGCGCCGCGGUCAGCGGCAGAGCGGCUCCCCCUCCGCUCCACCACCCUCAGCCCCAGCCGGCGCUCGGGGCCGCGCGGGGGCCGGGAGCGGCAGGUGGUUGCACAAAGGGACCGCUGCAAACACGAGCGGUACACACCCGGACAGACACCUGUCCGCCCGGCAGCGGAACCGGACCCGACACGCCCGGACACCGCGGCGUGAUGCCGGGGCUCCCUGCCGGGCAGGGCCGCCAGUGACCGUGGGCGAGGCGCGGUAG
rnacentral:lncRNA from 1 species